GACAAAAAGUGGAAAAAAAGAGGGCCUAAGAGAGGUGAGCAUGGGAACAUGAUGGAAGGCUAAAAACCUCAGUUCUUCAUCUAACACCAGAAGAGGCUUUGUUUUGUUUUCUUGUUGCCGCCCAUGCCUAUUGUUCUUUGGUGUUCAUUCCUCUUCCUUUUGGAU
rnacentral:pre_miRNA from 1 species